rnacentral:rRNA from 1 species
UACGUAGGGUGCGAGCGUUGUCCGGAAUUACUGGGCGUAAAGAGCUCGUAGGUGGUUUGUCGCGUUGUUCGUGAAAACUCACAGCUCAACUGUGGGCGUGCGGGCGAUACGGGCAGACUGGAGUACUGCAGGGGGAGACUGGAAUUCCUGGUGUAGCGGUGGAAUGCGCAGAUAUCAGGAGGAACACCGGUGGCGAAGGCGGGGUCUCUGGGCAGUAACUGACGCUGAGGAGCGAAAGCGUGGGGGAGCGAACAGG